rnacentral:rRNA from 1 species
CCCGCUGAACUUAAGCAUAUCAUUAAGCGGAGGAAAAGAAACUAACAAGGAUGCCCUCAGUAACGGCGAGUGAAGUGGGCAAAGCUCAAACUGAAAAUCCGUCCCCCAAGCGGGGGAUGCGAAUUGUAGUCUAUAGACGCGCUAGCAGCAGUGGGCCGGGUAUAAAUCUUUUGAAACAAGGUGUCAUAGAGGGUGAGAACCCCGUCCAUGACUCGGAUUCCGCUGCGUACGCUGCGUGUUCAAAGAGUCGGGUUGCUUGGGAUUGCAGCCCUAAGUGGGUGGUAAACUUCAUCUAAAGCUAAAUAUUGGCGAGAGACCGAUAGCGAACAAGUACCGUGAGGGAAAGAUGAAAAGAACUUUGAAAAGAGAGUUAAAAAGUACUUGAAAUUGUUAAGAGGGAAGCACUGGAAACCAGUAUUACUGGGUAUUGUAUUCGCCUAUUUGCGGUUUGGCGGUGGUGUGCCGGGAGUGCAAACCUCGGUUGUGUCAUCAAAGGAUCGCCGGUGGGUCUAGCAGUGCCCGGUAGGUCAAAAUCAAUUUGCUUCGUGGGAGAAAGCUGCGGGGAAGGUAGGGCGGAGGGGCAACCCAAAGCCUGUUAUAGCCCUGCAGUCCUACCAUGGAGUGGAUUGAGGAUCAAAUGCGCGCCACUAGGUUUCAGUUCCCCGACCCUGGGGUGCAAUCUGCAUUGGAUAGCAAAGCUAUGCGUGUGGAGAAGCGCUCUACUGGAAGGGAUGAACUAGAUGCAGCAUUCGAGAUUUUGACGAAAUGGUUUUCAUUGACCCGUCUUGAAACACGG